GGGCGUUGCCGGGGCAAUUUGACGCUAUAUUUUGUCGUAAUGUGAUGAUUUAUUUUGAUAAAGAAACGCAGGAGCGCAUUCUGCGUCGCUUU
rnacentral:tRNA from 1 species